GACGAACGCUGGCGGCGUGCUUAACACAUGCAAGUCGAGCGAUGAAAUUCCUUCGGGAAUGGAUUAGCGGCGGACGGGUGAGUAACACGUGGGUAACCUGCCUCAUAGAGGGGAAUAGCCUUCCGAAAGGAAGAUUAAUACCGCAUAAGAUUGUAGUACCACAUGGUACAGCAAUUAGAGGAGUAAUCCGCUAUGAGAUGGACCCGCGUCGCAUUAGCUAGUUGGUGAGGUAACGGCUCACCAAGGCGACGAUGCGUAGCCGACCUGCGAGGGUGAUCGGCCACAUUGGGAUUGAGACACGGGCCAGACUCCUCCGGGAGGCAGCAGUGAGGAAUAUUGCACAAUGGGGGAAACCCUGAUGCAGCAACGCCGCGUGAGUGAUGACGGUCUUCGGAUUGUAAAACUCUGUCUUCAGGGACGAUAAUGACGGUACCUGAGGAGGAAGCCACGGCUAACUACGUGCCAGCAGCCGCGGUAA
rnacentral:rRNA from 1 species